GAGAGACAUGAUUGCUUCUAGAACCUGUCAGCAUAACAAGGUGCAGGGAUUCUCAAGAGAGGUGAAACUCAAGGAAAUGUCAUUUACUGCUCUAGUUUUCUCAAACUUUACACAAUCCACAAGCAUAUUGGAACAAAAAUGGUGGGGAACGUAAGAGAGAGACUGGAAAAAAUGCUCAUCAGGGUAAAGAGCAGAAGAAAGAAAUGGAUGAAGUGGAUAUAAGACCUGUCCUGCUACACAAACAAUAUUAAGGUAAGCUGCUGUGCUGUGAGACGGACACAUGUCAAGGAAUUGAAGAGGCCUCUAAGAGUUAAAAGUGGAACCUGAUUGACAGCCAGUCAAAUUGAGACUGCAGUCCUACAACUUCAAGCAACUUAAUUCUGCCAACAAGCAUAUGUGCAUGUAAGAAGACCACGAGCUCCAGAAAAUAAUGCAGCCCAUCCAAGAAUGCAGUCUAUCCAAGACUGAG
rnacentral:lncRNA from 10 species